UUACUUACAUUUUUGCAGAUUUUAUCCUACUUCUUUUGCUCACGUUAUUACGAUGAUUAUUGAGGUGCAAUACCAUGAGUAUUUCCCGACCUGGGAAAACUAUGACCGUCAUGAUAUGAUGUUUAGAGAGUCAUGUAAACAUAGACGCAUCUUUUCAUGUAAACAUAGACAGACGCAUCUUUAUUAACAUAUGAUGUAUUUUUUUUAUUGAUAAUGAACGGCAGCCCCUAUAUAAUUUGCAAAAACAUUUCUCAUAGGCUCCUGAGCAUGAGAGGCAGAUAAGAGAUGCCUUUAAUGCACAAGCCAAACAUAGACUAUCCGAGUUUGCUUUGGGAUGCUUAGAACAAGAUGAAGCAACUCACUUGAAUUGUAAAGGAGUAAGGGAGGGCCUCCCAUGGUAUAUCAGCUCUUCAGGUUUAAGGAUGAAAUGUCAGCACGAAUUGAGUCUUAAAGUAGAAAAGACAUGGCUGGGUUUAGCAACACCACCGGAUAGCCAAAUUAUUAACAUUUGGCUUAAUGUGGUUGGAGGACUAAAUAAAGGGAGAGCAUAUGGCCUUUGUUCGGAGCUUUCGUUUAUGGUGGCUCCUCGAGGUUAUUGAUUGGGUCAUCCUUUUCGUAGUCCUCCGUGAAUCAGGAUGAGUUGGAUGCCACGUGGAGACAUGUGCAGGAGUUGAACAAAAGACGCAAACCAAAAUGCAAAGGAGAAGGAAGCACUGAAGCAUAAGGUGGACAGCCAAAAUAAGGAUAUCAAUAUGCUCAAG